AUGACUCUCAUCCCCACCCUCAUCUGGACGCUGGCCUGCUGCUUCAUCCAAGUGACUGUCACUCAACCUGCUGUAGUCACAUCGUCUCCUGGAUCUACAGUCACUCUGACCUGUAAAACCAACCCAAAAGUUUACGUUUGGUCAGAUGGAGAUAAGUUUAAGUUCUUCUGUCACAGAGAGUCUGAACUGUUUUCAUGCACUUACACUGGAAACUGCAUCAGGAUGAUGUUGCCAAUAACUCUGCUUGUAGUGUUGGGUUUUCUGAGUCAGGAGUCUUCUGCAAAUAAUUUUCUGACUCAGAGUGACAAAUCCAAGUCUGUUAGUCUUGGAGGGACUGUGGCCAUCAGCGCCACAGGGAGUUCAGACAUUGGUGAUGAUCUCAGUUGGUACCUUCAGAAACCGGGACAGGCUCCGAAACUCCUUAUAUACUAUACAUCAACUCGCUUCUCAGGAACUUCUUCUCGAUUCAGUGGCAGUAGAUCUGGUUCUGACUACACUCUGACCAUCAGUGGUGUUCAGGCUGAAGACGUUGGAGAUUACUACUGUCUGGGCGACCAUGGUGGAGCGUUCACACAGUGA